GUCGGUUUGGCUCGAGGUGUUGAAAAUAUCACAUCGUAUUUAAAAACAGUAUUUUCUCGUAUCUAUGCCGGAGGCGGUUCGCACCCCAGUGUUGCUGUUGUCUGCAUCGGAAGCGGCUUUCAUCCGCAAUAACAUGUUGUUCGCGGUGCUUCUGUGUGCCCUUUGGUUUCAAUAUAGCACUUCUGGGCGCGGUGCAUCUAUUUGCGAGGAGCUUUCGUCCCUGUAUGGCGGGGCCGCCUCGGUGCUUCUGGUGGGGAGCAACUUUCAUCCAUGUAUGGCGGUGAUGCCUCUAAUCGUCAUGCAUCUAUUUGCGAGAAACUUUCAUCCU
rnacentral:lncRNA from 1 species